UACGUAGGGUGCAAGCGUUAAUCGGAAUUACUGGGCGUAAAGCGUGCGCAGGCGGUUAUGUAAGACAGGUGUGAAAUCCCCGGGCUUAACCUGGGAACUGCAUUUGUGACUGCAUAGCUAGAGUACGGCAGAGGGGGAUGGAAUUCCGCGUGUAGCAGUGAAAUGCGUAGAUAUGCGGAGGAACACCGAUGGCGAAGGCAGCUCACUGGGACGGUACUGACGCUGAGGCGCGAAAGCGUGGGGAGCAAACAGG
rnacentral:rRNA from 1 species